UGUUCACUGCCUGGUGAAAUCCUGAAGCGGGAGGUUAGAUGUGGUCCCCCUGCACCGCCACUCUUCUACGUAGAGAGAAUCUUUUAUGUGCUGUAUGGACGCAUCACCUGUCAACAAAAAGCCUAUGGCCAAUGAGCUGAGGCAGGAUUGGAAGGUGGGACAUCCAGCAGAGAGAGAGAGAGAGAGAGAGGAAUUCUGGGAUUGAGUCAGGCAUGGGAGAGGCGCCAGGACGCAGAGUAAGAUGGCCGUCACGUGAAACCGAGGACCAGGGCUUGGACUAAGGUCACCAGAUUUGCACAGCAAAGCAAGUGCUUUUACCUGCUGAACCAUCUUGUCAGCCUUCAAAUCUUAACGCUAACCAGAAAAAGAAAAUCUUAAAACACUGAGAAAAAAACCUCUAGAAGACCAGAAAAAAAAAAGGCAUGGUGGACCAACCCAGUACUCUAAAGGCUGAGGCAGGAGGAUCACUUCAAAUGGGAGGCCAGCCUGAGCUAUAUAGUGAUUUGAGGUCAACAUGAGCUGUGUGACACAAUACUGUCUAAAAACAGAUCAGAAAAUAAAUUAAAAGAAUUUAUUUGAACAAAAGAAA